rnacentral:rRNA from 1 species
UACAUAGGGUGCAAGCGUGUCCGGAAUUAUUGGGCGUAAAGAGCUCGUAGGUGGUUCGAUACGUCGGAUGUGGAAAUCAGGGGCUCAACCCCUGACCUGCAUCCGAUACGGUCGAGCUAGAGUUUGGUAGGGGAGACUGGAAUUCCUGGUGUAGCGGUGGAAUGCGCAGAUAUCAGGAGGAACACCGAUGGCGAAAGGCAGGUCUCUGG